CCUCGGUCCCGCCCUCUCACUCCCUUUUUUACCUUCCUCGCACGCGCGGAGCCGCACACCGUGGGGCCUUUAAAAGGAACCGGAAGUGACGUGCUGUAAUACGGCCGUGUGGGGGAGCAUCGAGAACAAGGAGCGUUGGUUAGGAGGCGCAGCUAGAGAGGCUCCUUCCUCCUCCCCCGCCCUUCUGAGGAUUCCUGGAGUCCACUCACCUCUCCCUACCAUGCGGACUGGAAUAGCGGUGACGGGAAGGGGUGUGGUUGCCCCUCGCGGAAGGCCACUGUCCUGUGCGCCUGCGACGUUUUGAUGAGGGAAGAGAGUACUCCCGGCGACUUAUGUCCUGGAGGGCCCAGCCAGAGAAAGGAAGCUGCCCUGAAGCGGCAGCCGCUUUUGCCGGCGGCGUCUGGGGAAUCCGGGCUGACGGUGCGUGGAGCGAAGCGCCGCUGCGGACCGUGCGCGUGCCGUGACAGCCGCAGUUCCUCCGCCAGUCGUCCCCGCCCGAACUCGGUGACAUUGAGGUUCCCUACGGCCGCCGCGGGCCUUGCCCAGACAGGCUGAGGUCGCUGACAACUAGGGCUACCUUUUCUUUAAGAUUGACUUUCCAACUAAGAUUAAUGCUUGCCUGCUUUUCUCCUGAAAUUUUUCGUCAAAAGAAGCAGGUAACGCUUAGUUUUAAGGAACCGGGAUUGUUUUUGCUUUGCUUGCCUUAUUAGAAAGUCCUAAAGUCUACCGUGGUUCUUUUACAUUAAUGAUAGUUGGGAAGUGUGUUAAAUCAAUCGAGGGUUCAUUUAGUUUAAUGGCUUUUAGUACUUGUACUAAAUAGGAUACAUAAAUGCCGUGAAUCAUCUUUACGAGAUUUCUGAAUUUGUUGUGUUGAGGUGGUUGUGUGGUGGUUGUUUUUUUGUUUUGUUUUGUUUUAACACCAUUAGGCGUGUUAUUCAGGAUAACAGUAAAAUUAUUCUUUAAUAGACCUAUUAGAUACUCCAGCCUUGGCUCGAAGCUGGAUUAUUUAUGGUUUGAGAUUUGCAGCUUUCUGCAACUAUCUUUAGAAAAAAAUUAAAUUUCUAGGUACUUUGGUGAUCAAUAAAUAAUUGUUUGCCUAUUCAGCAUUUGUGUAGGCUAAGUUAGGAAAAGUUUGCAAAAUACAGCAUAGAACUCUCAAGAUAUUAAAUACUCGUUUUCUUUUUUUUUUUUUUUAUUUAGUUUUUUUUAUUGGUUGUUCAAAACAUUGUAAAGCUCUUGACAUAUCAUAUUUCAUACAUUAGAUUCAAGUUGGUUAUGAACUCCCAAUUUUACCCCAAAUACAGAUUGCAGAAUAAAUACUCGUUUUCUACUAUGUACUUAAUUUAUAAUAACUGAACGCUAUCCAAAAAUCCCAAAGGAAGAGAAAAAUAAACUUUUGCAUCGUAGACUACUUAAAACUCAAGAAUGCAGGUCAAAUUUUGAAAUUCCAAAAAUGUAGAUUUCCUGAAGUCCUAUAUUAAGCAAUCACAGGAAGGCAAUGUUAAGAAGGUUUGUCUACAGUGACUCCACGUUUGUCUUCACUUGUCAGGAUAUUAGCCAGUGAUAAAGUGGCCAUUGUGCUCAAUUCAAAGUUUUGAGCAGGUUGGAGACCACUAAUAUGAUGAAUCAAAGAGAAGUCUCUUGACCCUUUUCUGGUUUCAAGAGAGGAUAACUAUAUUGGGACUGUGGCUCAAUGGUAGAAUGCUUCCCUAAUGUGCCUAGGCCCUGAAUUUAAUCCCCAGCACUGCAAAAAGAGACCAAAUGACUUCAUGGUUUCAUUUACUCUUAUAAUAUCCUUAGAUUUGCCCACUUUAUAGUAUUAGCAACUUUUCCAAAAGGUCCGUUGAUAAUUCACAUGCAGCCCCGUAACUUCUGGAAUACUUGGAAUUUAUAAAAAAAAUUCCAAUCAACAUAGGAAUGAUUUUAAACACAUUGCUAUAUGCUAUGUGAUAGCGAAUGAUACAAUAUCACUCAACACCCUUUAUAUUGUGGCCUAAAUUUCUACACCCUGUGCUCCUACAUCCACCAUUCUCUUAGAACUCACUUAACUCUAACCCUGUUUAAUAUUCCUCACCUGCCUAGUAAAUGCCUAUCCAUCCUUCAAAACUCUAAUCAAAUAUUUGUCUUUCUGUGAAGUCUUCACAGACCUCUUUAGGCAGAAUUCAUUCUCUUUUUGUCAUAGCCUCAUAUCCUUACAUCUGUUAUUCUUCGUGUAAUCAACUAGACCGUGAGUUCAUGAAAAAAAUAAUGUUUUCUGUGUGUCAUUCUAAUUCUCAAACACGUGCACUCACACGUACUCUCUCUCUCUCACACACACACAGAGAAACAAGACAUGUACAAUUGCAAGUUGAAUUAUUGAAUGAUAAAAUACUAGGUAUGUCCAACUGGCUAGAUUUAGGGCCUUUCAGACAAACUAGAUAUGUUUCCAAGGACUUAAAAUGCACCUCCUAACUAUCUCACUUCAUCUUUGGCAUAAAUACAACUCUGAAUCUCUUGAUGUUUGAACAGUGUUAAGAGGAAAAAACUUUAUUAUACAUUAAUAAGUAAGAACUUAAUGUUUAAUUUCUAGCAAGAAAUGCUUUAUUGGACAGUCUCAAAUCACUGGGAAGAAAACUAUCCUCUCUGAAGGUCCAGGACAUCAGAAAUUCCAUUGCUUUAAGAGAUCCAUAGUAUGUUUAAGGUAACAUGCUGAAAUGCUAGAUGCUUCUAAAUUUACCCUGAUAAAGCAGUAACUGCAAAAAAAAAAAAAACAUUAGAGAACUCAUAAAAGAGAAAAGACAAAUCAAUCACAUAGAGAAAGCUAGGUCCAGGUGGGACACUGUCCUCUGAUGGAGGAAUAAUGGCCAGAGCUAGCUCAGCAUGUUUAUUAUAUAGGUUUUAUCAUCAAAGUUCAUUUCAGACUUAAACUGGAAUCACUUUUACUAGGAUAAAAUGUAUACAUCUAAGUCAAGGAGUCAAGGUUUUUAUCUGCUAGACGCUUUCUACAGAUUUGGCAGAAGAUAACACUGUUCAGAUUUUUUUUUCCCCCCCUAAACACAUGAAAUAGACCAAGGGUCUUUAUUGAAUGAUCUACAAGGUUCAGAGUAACCAUAAAAUCUGAAAACACUAGUCCUACUUAUUCAUUUCCUUAUUUAUUUAUUUAUGACUGUUCACAUUUUUGAAAACAUGUAUUCCAGUUGGCACCCGAGAAUGAACUGUGGAAGAAACAACAGAAAGGUACACAUACUUGAGUUUUUUUCUGUAACCAAGUUAAAUAGUCUGUAACCUGUAUUGACCUAUUUACUCACCCUCUGUAGGAUUUAAGAAUUUUGUUGCAGAGUUAACUUGUAGUUUUAAGUGAUUAAGUGCCCAUGUAAUAAAUAUUCUGUAUCAUUGUUCUUGGCUGUCAAGUAGUUAUCACUUCAUUCAGAUAGUAGAAGUUCAUUAAAUAUGAACUAACAGGUUUUGUUUCAGCAAAAGUCUAGAUAUGGUACAUUUUGAGUGCUGCUUAACCAGAGGACCAUCAAAAAGGGUGCCUUUAGAAGCAAUUAAAGAAUAAGUACUUUAAAAGGAUUCACAUGAUAAGGAAUUUAGUCAUCUCACUCCAGGCCUACAUAUAUCCAUCUAACUACUUAACAUCUCUGCCAUGUCCUGCACGGCUUUAAUUCAGAAACCAGCAAGGGGCAAUGGGGGAUUAAGAAAAGACAAACACAUAGAGAAAGCUAGGUCCAGGUGGGACACUGUCCUCUGAUGGAGGAAUAAUGGCCAGAGCUAGCUCAGCAUGUUUAUUAUAUAGGUUUUAUCAUCAAAAAGGUUAUUUGUGGGAAGUUUUUGCAAAACAGGCAAUCUGAAGGACGCAGCACUGGUGAGACAUUAGAGUAUCUUGUUAUGCUCAGAAUUCUCUAUCCCUGACAGCUGGUACUUGAGCUCCAGGUCCAGACUGAUAUAAUUCCAAACCUUUGCAGUUUCCUCAGGCCAGGUAUUACCACAGCAACUGGGCAAUCUUGACCUAUACUUUACACAGGAAGUUCCCAGUGCAGCCAGGAGGCAAUCAGAGGUCAUGAUCCAAGCCACCACUCUCCACAUAUCUUCACCUGGAUGUCCAUAGACAUCACAAACUUUAGAUGCCUAAAAUUGAACUGAGUCUUUCCUACAAAUAUACUUCUUUAAUCUUCCUUGUCUCAAGUAAAUGACACCUCCAUUCACCUUUAUGCUUCAUCCAAAACCAGGGAACCAGCUUUAAUAUCACCCCCCACAUCAACAACUAGUUAGUUACCAACUCCUGUCUGCAAAAUUUAUCUUGAUUCAUCUAAAUGCAUCUUAGAAAUAAAUACUGGGGUAAUUUCUAGUUAGAUUUAUUCACAUUUAAGCGUGCAGCACAUUUUGGCACAAGUAGCAUCUGGUGUUGAUAAUAUAACAGUGACCCAAACUGAUAAGGCCUUUGGACUCAUGAAGCUGAUACUUUGGUGAGGGAAACAAAGGACAGACAAAAUAAGUAGACAAUAUAAUAUAAUUUUCAGUAGUGACAGGAAGAAAAGUAAUAAGGUGCUGAAGAUAGAAUGUGUGCAAUAAGGUUUUGAGAGAAGACUCUUGAAGAAAACUUUUUUAAAGUAGAGGCCUGAAGGAAGUGAGGGAGAAAGCUGUACACAAAGCUUUUUCAAAGACUACACAGCAAAGAGUACAUCUGAGCCAGGAGGAGUGCUUGGCUUUUCUACAAUAGAGGCCAGUUCGUGUAGGAACAUGGUUAAGUUCAUGUAAGCUAUGGUUAACAUUUUGCAUUUAUUUGUAAAAUUGAGAAGAAAAAGUUUUGAGCAAAAUAAAGAUAUGUUGUGACUUAAACAUUUAAGUGGAUCAUUUUAGAUGUGUGGACAGUGGACAAUACGAGGGCAUCAAGGAAAUGAGUUUAAAAGUCACUGAGAUGAGUUGACUAUAUUUUAGCAUCUUUUGAUUGAUCUUUUGACAAAGGGCAAAUCUACAGAAAGGGUAUUAGUUCCAUGUGGUUAAAUGACUUUGUUUAGCUUUUCUAGAGUUAUGUUUUCUAUGAAGAAAAACAUGUUCAAAUGACAGCAAGCGUCAAUGAAACUUAAGAGUUAGAUUGAUAGUAAUAAUAUUUCCAAUAAAACUCAGAUUGCAUUUUUGUUCAAUUUCAAUUUUUUUUCCUUCUAUUUUCCCUCUUCUGGAAGUUCUGGAGUGAGAUUUUGGUUAGCUACUACAGUAAGGGUUGGCCAUAAGUCAGGUAUUACAAUAAGUACAAUUAUUUGAGCUCUGGCCUCUUGGAUACUCCAGACUUCUUUUUUUCCCCAAGGACUAAGGAUGAAACCAAAUACUAUCAGGUUUUACUUAAUAAAGUACUUUUAAGGUUUUUUUUAGCUGCUAAUUUUAUAAUUGUUUUGCUUAAUUUGCAGGAUCGACAAUUCAAGGAAGUUAUUGUAAAAGAGAAUAUAGUACAGAAAAGUCAAGGUUUUCAGAUUAAGGCUCAACUAACAAAUACUGAAAGUCUAAGAAAAAGUUUAGAAAAAUGUCUAUGUCCUGUAGCUAUUUGGAGCCUUUUCUUUUCUGUAGUGGCUGUAAGUUAUUUGAGAUUUCUCACCCCAUUUACGCUGCAUCAGAGUAAUCACCUUCUUACACCAUGGUUAAGAGUUCUUAGGCUCUUAGACUUAAUACAGUUGUUCAAAAGUAAUACUUUGAAAAUAGUGACACAUAUCAGUUAGUACCUCUGGCUAUAACAGGAAGGGUUUUUCUGUUUGCUAGUUCAUGUCCUUGAUAUUUUGGUUACUAUAGUAGACAUUUGAUGUUUGGGGACUCCCAACAUCAAUUUUGUCUUCUCUCAGUAAUAAUGUAGAAGAAACCAGUGGAGCAGGGGUGAAGGCAUAAGGAACAGCUUAUCAGAUGAACUUUUCAUCCCUGGUCACAUUGUGUGUUUCUGGAAGAGCACAGAGCCUAAGGCAGCCAAUCAUAUCCAAUAACUCUUGAUUUUGAGUGAAGCAACACUCUUCCUACCCCACAAACAAAAGCAUCUAAGUGGAGGAACCACUGGCAGCCAUUUUGCUACACAAAGAUUCCUUUUUUUUUUCUUAAAGAGAAAGAGGGAAUUUUUUAAUAUUUAUUUUAGUUUUCAGCGGACACAACAUCUUUUUUUUAAUGUGGUGCUGAGGAUCGAACCCGGGCCGCACGCAUGCCAGGCGAGUGCGCUACCGCUUAAGCCACAUCCCCAGCCCCACAAAGAUUCUUACCUAGAAAGCUAAGAAUCGAACAGCAACAAAAAAUUCCUGAGACAUGAGAGGAUCAUAGGUCCUGGUCACAUUCUUUGAGAUCAACUUCUUCCUAUCUCUACAUCUAGACAGAUAUGAGACUUGGUAAAUUUUCUUUUAUCAUUUAAACCAGUUUGACUUGCCAUUUUAUUUCUCUGAAGUAUUCUAACUAUUCUGAUCUGUUGGUUAUUGACUUUACAUUACUACUAUCCACUUAUUUUUAUCUCUGCAUUAAAGAGGAGAAGAAGCCAGGAACAUUUUCCAGAAUCUCCUUCCCUUUGUAGUUCUGAGUUAAGAGUUUGCCAACAUGUGGUAUAUCAUAUUCCAUGUAGACUACGGUGAUAAGAUAUUGUACCAAAGACUGGAUUUAUUUCUCACCCUUGGGAGACUAGGGAGUCCAAUAUAAGUGUUGGCAGAUUCUGCAUCUGGUAAGGGCCCACUUCCUAAUUCAUAGGCAGCAUCUUCUCAUAGACCCUCACAUGGUGGAAGGGACAAAGGAGAUCUCUGGAGAGAGAGAGAGAGAGAGAUGGGUGUGUGUGUGUGUGUAUAUGUAUGUAUUAUUCCCAUUCGUGAGGAUAGAGCCUUCAUCUAAUCACCUCCCAAAGAUCUGACCUCCUAAUACCAUCACCUUGGAGGUGAGGGUUUUAGCAUAUGAAUUUUGGGGAGACAGACAUUCAGACCAUAGUAAGUAUUCGCAGUAGAACAGGAAGGUAGAAAAGGAAAGCUUGUAUUCUUGGAUAUUGUAGCAGCUUCACAGACUUUUUCCAGGAAGUUGUGGUUCUUCUCGGAUCUCUCCACAAACUCCCACUUUGCAUAUGUAGCAUCCAAGCACAAUAACUUCUCAGACUUUUUAGCAAACUACUGCUUCGAGGUCAUGGUGGCUAUAAGUGGCAGCUUCACAGACUUCUCCACAAGCUGUGGCUUCUUAUAUCAAUGUUCCAACUUAUCCAUCUGCAACAAUCCUUCAAGCCAAAGUCAUUAAUGAAUGUUCUCUAGUACUUCAGUGGUAAUUCCAGACCUUCAUUCCUUUGUUGUCUCCUAUAUCCAUUACCCUUAGUUGCUACAGUCAGUCUCUCUAUUCCAUAAUACUUGCAUAAUACUUUCUCCUCACUACAGCUAUUUAUAGGUGAUAGAUUUUCAGGAGGCUGAGAAUAUGCAGGGUGGGAAUUAGUUGUUUGAUCCCAUUAGGUUUGAACAUAUUAAUGACCUCAUAGCAAAUGGUGAUGGCAUUGGUAGUCCAUUGGAUGGCACACAGUGGCAAAAUUGUUAAUUUAUUAUUACCUUGGAUGACCCAAGAAGUUGCUGUAAUGGGGUAAUAUGGUGGAAAUAAAGGGUACAAGGACUGUGGAGUGGUUUGGGUAUUUGAAAGUACACCGGGGAACUUAGAGAAAGAAAAUGAUACAUUGAAAGCUUUAAAUUCCUAUAUCAAAACCUGGAUGAGGAACCAGAAAAUUUCUUACCUUCCUGGAAAAAUAUAAAAUACCUUGCUCAGGUCACAGAGUUAAGAUUUCAAAAGAAAAAACUUAAAAGUUGAUCAUACAGGUGGCUAAGAUAUAAAGCAAGUUGCAUAUAUUUGCAUGAGCUCUUAAGAUAUUUAUCAGGGAAAAGUGGAAUUCUGAAUAUUAGAGUUUAGACAGAUUUCCACUAAGCAAGAGUAACUGCUUGAUUCUGCCAAGUCAGCCAGGCUCAGUGGCACAGACCUGUAAUCUCAGCUAAUUGGAGACUAAGACAGGAGGAUAGCAAAUUCAAGGCCAGCCUGGGCAACUUAACCAGACACUGUCAGAAUUUUUUAAAGAGUGGGGUCGGGGGCUGGGGAUGUAAUUAAGUGGUAGAGCAUUUACCUUGCAAGUGCGAGGCCCUGAGUAUAAUCCCCAGUAACACACACACAAAAAAAAAUUCUGCCAAGCCUUCCUUGUGAGUACAAAAACUCUUCUUCUACUAUGGUAAGCAAAAUAAUGGUCCCCUAAAAUAUCCAUGCCCUAAUCCCCGAAACCCAUGAAUACGUUCCUUUAUUGACAAGGGACUUGUCAAGAUAUGAUUAAGGUUCUUAAGAUUAUCCUGGAUUAUCUGAGUAGACCCAAUGUAAUUACAAGGGUUCUUAUAAGAAGAAGGCAGGAGGGUCAGUCAUAUCCCAGAGAUCUGAAAAUGCUACACUGUUGGCUUUAAAGAUGGAAACAAGGCCACAUGCCAAGGAACAUAGAUUCCUUUUAGAAACUGGAUAGGUCAAAGAAAGCAAUUCUCUAAAGCCUCCAGAAAGAAUGCAGUCUUUUUUUUUUUUAAUAUUUUUUUUUUGAGACAGAGUUUUAAUAUUUAUUUUUUAGUUUUCUCGGCAGACACAGCAUCUUUGUUUGUAUGUGGUGCUGAGAUCGAACCCGGGCCGCAUGCAUGCCAGGCGAGCGUACUACCGCUUGAGCCACAUCCCCAGCCCAGAAUGCAGUCUUAAGACACCUUAAUUCAGCCCUGUGGUACCUCUAGAAGUGUAAAAUAAUAACUUUAUAUUAUUUUAAGCUAUCAAAUUUGUGGCAACAAUAGGAAUCUGGCGAUCUGUAGAGAUUAUCCUGCCCUUCCUUUAAGAGCCUGAAUGAGCUCUCCUGAAAUAGUUGCUUUACAAGAGAAUGCUGAUUGUCCUGAAGACCCAUACCUAUUGCUUCUCAUUCCUUCUAAAUGAAUGACUAGACUUGAAUCUUGGAAGAUCCCAGCAGAACACACAUUACAUGGUAUUCUUGGUGUUGACCAUAGUUUAGCCAAUUUGGAAAACUAUUUUUAAAGAUUGCUAAAAUAUUUUUCAAAGAGGACAUAGUAUUUAUAUAAAAGGACUGGAAAGUGAAAUUUUUUUUUAUUUUAAAUUUUUGAUUUUGUUCAGCUGCUGAUACUUUAUGGCUGACUGGCAAUGUGGGUGACUUAAUGGCUUUAUUUGAGUGGCCUAGGUUUUUUUCUUCCAUAUUGCACUGUGGUUAUAUGAUGAUAGCCAUGAUCCAGUAAAAGAAAAACUGGUGAUGUGGUGUGGAGGUGGGAGGAUGAUUAUAGAUACCAACCUUUUUCUGUUUUUGGUACUGGGGAUUGAACCCAGAGUUGAGUUUACUCAUCCCCUGAGUUAUACCCCCAAUUCUUUUUAUUUUUUUAGUUUGAGGCGGGAUCUCACUAAGUUCCUGAGGCUAGCCUCAAACUUGCAAUCCUCCUGCCUUAACCUCCCGGUGGAUGUGAACUUAAAUGAGAGGAAGUACAAUUCCAUCUCACUGUAGAGUAGAAGGAAGACCAUGUGAGUAUAUAUAUAGAUCAUAUGAGUAUAUAUAGAUAUAAAUUCGUUGGUAUAUUUAGAGGUAAACAUAAUUAGUUCUGAUUCCUUCUAUUUUUCUCAGAUAAUAAGUCUUCAUUAGCUAGGAGUGUGGACAGGGGAGGAAACUGAAGGAUCUUAGGGAAAGUGUAAGGGCAAAUUCACUAGGCCCAGGAAAUAAAAGACUUGGUAAAGAUUGACUUCUAAGGUCUGAGAGCCACUCCCUCAAGAAAUCUGUGGCAGGAUUUAUCUUCUUUGUAUGUGGUUAUAACAAGUAAAAAGCUGGGGAUGUGGCUCAGUGGUAAAGCACCCCUGGGUUCAAUCCCUGGUACUUAAAAAAAAA
rnacentral:lncRNA from 1 species